AACCAGACUCCUACGGGAGGCAGCAGUGGGGAAUAUUGCACAAUGGGCGAAAGCCUGAUGCAGCAACGCCGCGUGAAGGAAGAAGGGUUUCGGCUCGUAAACUUCUAUCAACAGGGACGAAAGAAAUGACGGUACCUGAAUAAGAAGCCCCGGCUAACUACGUGCCAGCAGCCGCGGUAAUACGUAGGGGGCAAGCGUUAUCCGGAUUUACUGGGUGUAAAGGGGGCGCAGACGGCAAUGCAAGCCAGGAGUGAAAGCCCGGGGCCCAACCCCGGGACUGCUCUUGGAACUGCAUGGCUGGAGUACAGGAGGGGCAGGCGGAAUUCCUAGUGUAGCGGUGGAAUGCGUAGAUAUUAGGAGGAACACCGGUGGCGAAGGCGGCCUGCUGGACUGUGACUGACGUUGAGGCCCGAAGGCGUGGGGAGCAAACAGGAUUAGAUACCCUAGUA
rnacentral:rRNA from 1 species